rnacentral:sRNA from 1 species
GCCGGCACCCUAGGCCGGCCCGCCGCCAGCUGUCGCCGACAUGGAACCCGUGGCCAGCAACAUCCAGGUCCUGCUGCAGGCGGCCGAGUUCCUGGAGCGCCGUGAGAGAGAGGCCGAGCAUGGUUAUGCGUCCCUGUGCCCGCAUCGCAGUCCAGGCCCCACCCACAGGAGGAAGAAGCGACCCCCCCAGGCUCCUGGCGCGCAGGACAGCGGGCGGUGAGGAGGCCGGGGGCGGCGGGAGUGGGGGUGGGGGUGGGCGCCGCCCCUGGUCGGGCCCUCCUCUGCCCACUUGUUGCUUGCAUCUUUUGGGCCAGGUGUCCUGCUCCAGGAAGCGUUCAGACCCCUCCUGCCAUCUCCCCACUCUCCAAACACACUCACACCUUUCUAUUCAUUCAAGGACUAUUUGUUGAGCACCUCUAGAUGUGCCGGGAACUGCCAACAGCAGUUGGGGUCCCGCUUCCACUCUCACUCCCGCACCCCACACAUCAGGCCACUCACCUCCCCCGCUGGCUUCCUCCUUUUCUCUCCUCUCCCCAGCCCUUUGCAUAUGCUGUUCCCUCCUAUUUGAAUGCCUCUCCCUCCACUACCAGCUUGGGAAACAUCUAUUUCUGCAUUUAGCUGUCACCUCUGUCUGGGAAGUCCUUUCUGACCAGCUGGCAGGGGCCCUUGUUAGGACCCCCAUACCCAUCUAGGCAGGCUUCUGUUAAGCAUUUGGCUCCGUGUGUCUUGGACUCCCCUUGCCCUGCCAGGGGACUCUGGUGUCUGAGGCCAGCAUGAGGUCUCCACAGGGGACUUGUUUGGGGCAGACAUCUGUAGUGGCUCUUGAGCCACUGGGGGCCCUGGGAUUGGGGCAUGGGCAGUGGCUGAUUCCCCUUCACCCCAUCCUCUCUGGCAUUGGCAGGUCAGUGCACAAUGAACUGGAGAAGCGCAGGUGAGUCCCAGUCCUGCCCUGACAGUGCCAGCCCCCAGGGGCCACUGCCCUCUGGCCUUCCCUCCCCUGCCAUUCCUGUGGCCAGCAAGGUGGGGCUGGCACUGCCCUCCAGACCUCUUCCCCACAGGAGGGCCCAGUUGAAGCGGUGCCUGGAGCGGCUGAAGCAGCAGAUGCCCCUGGGGGCCGACUGUGCCCGAUACACCACGCUGAGCCUGCUGCGCCGUGCCAGGAUGCACAUCCAGAAGCUGGAGGAUCAGGAGCAGCGGGCCCGACAGCUCAAGGAGAGGCUGCGCAGCAAGCAGCAGAGCCUGCAGCGGCAGCUGGAGCAGCUCCGGGGGCUGGCAGGGGCGGCCGAGCGGGAGCGGCUGCGGGCGGACAGUCUGGACUCCUCAGGCCUCUCCUCUGAGCGCUCAGACUCAGACCAAGGACCCUGACGUGGCUGAAGCGGCCCCGGGAGCAUGAGCGGGCAGCGCGUGGACGUCAAGGUGGUGAUGCUGGGCAAGGAGUACGUGGGCAAGACUAGCCUGGUGGAGCGCUACGUGCACGACCGCUUUCUGGUGGGGCCUUAUCAGAACACCAUCGGGGCCGCCUUCGUGGCCAAGGUGAUGUCGGUCGGAGACCGGACUGUGACAUUAGGUAUUUGGGACACAGCAGGCUCUGAGCGCUAUGAGGCCAUGAGUAGAAUCUACUAUCGGGGUGCCAAGGCUGCCAUCGUCUGCUAUGACCUCACAGACAGCAGCAGCUUUGAGCGAGCAAAGUUCUGGGUGAAGGAACUGCGCAGCCUAGAGGAGGUAGGUGAACAGACCUCACUAGAACACUAGGGGCUGGGGUUUUGUUGGCCUGUGGAGGUGACCCUUGUCUUCUGCCUCAGGGCUGCCAAAUCUACUUAUGUGGCACCAAGAGUGACCUGCUGGAAGAAGACCGGAGGCGUCGACGUGUGGACUUCCAUGACGUCCAGGACUAUGCAGACAAUAUCAAAGCUCAGCUCUUUGAAACAUCCAGCAAGACAGGCCAGAGUGUGGACGAGCUCUUCCAGAAAGUGGCAGAGGAUUACGUCAGUGUGGCUGCCUUCCAGGUGAUGACAGAGGACAAGGGCGUGGAUCUGGGCCAGAAGCCAAACCCCUACUUCUACAGCUGUUGUCAUCACUGAGUCAGCACUCACCUGGCCUGGGGGAAUUAAAGGAAUUCCCCGUAAGGGCUGGACCCAGCUCCUUUCUGGGCUUGGGUAGUCAAAUGUCUGAGCUACCCCAGGUCCUCAUGUCAGCAGAGUGGCGCCUGCCUGUGCUGGCCCAUGGAACGGAGACAGCAUUGGGCUGACUGUGGGCAUGAGGAGGGAUAAGGGCUGAUUUGGACCCCAGGCUUCUGCCCUGGACAGCACUUGUGUCUGCAGAUUAUUUAAGUGGCUUUUGAUCUGUAAAUAAAAUCAAUGCACU